CCAGUAUUCAGUUGUGGCUUCUCCAUGAACAACGGAAAUGGCCGAAAAGGAGAUGAAACUUAACCAGAAAGAUCUUGCCUGAGCUCUGCCGACGACAGCAGACGAGCGGAGGCGCCGCUGAACUUUGGAUGUCAUUAUCUGAAAGGAAGUUCAGAAAAUCUUCGAAGCUGCCUUCUUUGUAGGACAAGGGAUGUCGCUCAUCCACUAGGUCUGGAGCAGGUGUUACUUUUCUGUUUAUUGCCAGACUGUGAAGGCUAGCAAUGGAAAGACGCUUUUUCUCUAAAUUCACAGUUGCUCGAUGAACAAUACUUUUGUAUCGGCCAUUGCUGAGCACUUCCAUUUGAUCACCCACCUGAACCACUAAUGCUCCUUCGAUUAAUGGAACAGGCUGCCAAUUCUCAUUUCUGUCCAUCACUUCUAGACCCUGUUGAUCUUGGAGUAUGAUUGUUAACAAUCCAUAGUCUGAGUGUCGGGGCAGGCCCAGUGCUAAAUUUGGUUGGGGGCAAGUAGGAUAGCAAUUCACAGCUAUGACUUGGGAACCUUGCUCCACAUCAUUCUGUUCAUGAACAUUAGUAGAGGCAAACUGCAUUUUUGUGUCAUUUGGCAUGUCAAAGAAAUCUGCGGCAACAUCUAGGGCCUGAUCCGUUAAUGAAACAGGAAUUCCAUGAUUGAUCACCUGCAGGGGGAAAAGAAAUUUCUAGCGCAUGGCCCUAGAAUAGUAUGUGCUUAAGUUCAAAUUGCUUAUUUGUAUGGACUGCUCAUGCAAUGAGAAGAACCGGGUUCUCUAAAGAGGAGAGAUCUAUGACUGGCAAAGCACUGAAGGUAGAAGGUGGCGUCUGCUCAAGGGUAGGGCGUUCGGCUGGAGGGAGAAUGUAGCACUCAGGAACACUGCUUACACCCAUUUGUGCAAGUGUCAUCGUGCUUGUGAAAUGGUGAUCUGCUGUGGGUCAGGGGUGGUGACCGGAGAGAGUCAAAGACAAAAGGAUGGCAGUCAUUUCUUCUACUUGAAGAUCUUAUUGUGCCGGAAAUAAGGUGCAGGCCAAUGUAAUCUCGAGCAAAUAAAUCUCUUAAUAUCGCGGGAGAAACUAAAUAGCUAAGGUAACUGUUAAAUUUUAGGUAUAUAUUUUAAACCAAGUUUUGUUUAUAUUUUUAGCUAUGCAUGAAACUAUAUGUAUAUUAAAAUAAUUAAGGAUUGAAUCUAUUUCGAUCUUUAGUUAUUUUA